rnacentral:rRNA from 1 species
AACGUGGGGAGGAGCUUGCUCCGCCCCGACGACGAGUGGCGAACGGGUGAGUAAUACAUCGGAACGUGUCCGCUCGUGGGGGACAACCAGCCGAAAGGUUGGCUAAUACCGCAUGAGUUCUACGGAAGAAAGAGGGGGACCCGCAAGGGCCUCUCGCGAGCGGAGCGGCCGAUGACUGAUUAGCCAGUUGGUGAGGUAACGGCUCACCAAAGCAACGAUCAGUAGCUGGUCUGAGAGGACGACCAGCCACACUGGGACUGAGACACGGCCCAGACUCCUACGGGAGGCAGCAGUGGGGAAUUUUGGACAAUGGGCGCAAGCCUGAUCCAGCUAUUCCGCGUGUGGGAUGAAGGCCCUCGGGUUGUAAACCACUUUUGUAGAGAACGAAAAGACACCAUCGAAUAAAUGGUGUUGCUGACGGUACUCUAAGAAUAAGCACCGGCUAACUACGUGCCAGCAGCCGCGGUAAUACGUAGGGUGCGAGCGUUAAUCGGAAUUACUGGGCGUAAAGGGUGCGCAGGCGGUUGAGUAAGACAGAUGUGAAAUCCCCGAGCUUAACUCGGGAAUGGCAUAUGUGACUGCUCGACUAGAGUGUGUCAGAGGGAGGUGGAAUUCCACGUGUAGCAGUGAAAUGCGUAGAUAUGUGGAAGAACACCGAUGGCGAAGGCA